rnacentral:rRNA from 1 species
AGUGAACGCUGGCGGCGUGCUUAACACAUGCAAGUCGAACGAGAACGGAAUAUAGCUUGCUAUAUUUGUCAGCUAAGUGGCGCACGGGUGAGUAAUGUAUAGAUAACCUGCCCUUAAGAAAGGAAUAACAGUUGGAAACGACUGCUAAUGCCCUAUAUGCCUUUAAUACAUAAGUAUGCAAGGGAAACGCUUUAGUGCUUAAGGAUGGGUCUGUAUGGUAUCAGCUUGUUGGUGAGGUAAUGGCUAACCAAGGCUAUGACGCCUAACUGGUUUGAGAGGAUGAUCAGUCACACUGGAACUGAGACACGGUCCAGACCCCUACGGGAGGCAGCAGUGGGGAAUAUUGCACAAUGGACGAAAGUCUGAUGCAGCAACGCCGCGUGGAGGAUGACACAUUUCGGUGCGUAAACUCCUUUUAUAUAGGAAGAUAAUGACGGUACUAUAUGAAUAAGCACCGGCUAACUCCGUGCCAGCCGCCGCGGUAACAC